rnacentral:pre_miRNA from 1 species
CGGGGGAGGCCGGAUCCUGGGCUGUGUCCCGGCGCCCUGUGCUCCGGGGCCUGCGCCGUUGGAUUCGCGCUCCCGCCCCGCAGCCCCCU